CGUGAGGUCGGAAGUUCAAGUCUUCCCAGGCCCACCACACUCAUCGAGUGAGCAUUCGUCUUCUGGUUACGGGGCCAUAGCUCAGCUGGGAGAGCGCGUGCUUUGCAAGCAUGAGGUCGUCGGUUCGAUCCCGUCUGGCUCCACCAGAUGGUUUGAUCACCGACUACUCAUACCGUCGUCCGCGAAACAUCACUUCGCACUUACUAGUCCGGAUGGACAGUAAGCUGCGUGAUUUCUGACAUCGUAAAGAGGAGAUCGAUCCGAGUUGGAUCGGGCAACAAGUAAUUGUUGCGCGAUACUUCAUUAUCUCCGGAUCAUUUCGGCGCUCGUGCGUCUUCCAGGGUAGCUCACAAGGCUGCGUCUGAAGGACACGCGAGUUGUAAAUGAUCCUUUUAGCGAAGCUUGACCGCCUCGCUAUCGGAACGAUCUUACGAAGCAAGCUGGUCUUUCUAAUCAUUGUCCGGCUGCAGAUAGCGUUCAUCGAGGGCGCGUGCCUUAGAGACUUAGGUUUCUUGGCAAUUCUGCGGACAACAUUCUGCCGAGUGUGUGGACAUUGAUAAUGAGAGC
rnacentral:tRNA from 1 species